CCACGGAAAUAUCGGAGUCGCCUCUUCUUUCUUCUCCAUUCGAUCAACUCUCUCUUUCAAAAUCUCAUUUCCUCUCUCUUGCAAAAUUUUGAUUCCCUCUCAUCUCUGUUCUGUCCUCCUCAUCAAUCAUCUUCUCCAUCUCUAUUAUUUGAUUGAAGCAUCGUUCUCUUCCACAUAACCACCACCAAUCCCUCCACUCUCCACGAGAUUUCCCUCACCUCUGUCUCCUCUCGUCACUCUGGGCAGAGAGGCUAGUAGACAUAAAGAGAAAGGGAUAGUAAGCUGGGCUUUGUGUGGCCUUCACAGCUGGGAAAAAAAUUUAAAAAAUUAUGUAUGGUAUAUAGGGCAUACAGACCACUAUCUGCCUCAGUCCAGUGCUAUCUUGCUUUGUUUGAGCACUGAUAUUACAACAUAUUUGCCUUCUUUAUAGUCCACAAGAAGUAUGGAACACAAUAAUAUUACAUAAGGGAAAAUACAAGCAGAAAAUGAAAAACAACAAAUGCCAGGAGUAUGAGGACUUAGAAGAGGAACUGUGGCUGUUACAAGAGAGAAAAGUAACAUGAAAAUUAGAGAAACACACAAUGCCUCGCCUUCCUUCGCCUUUUCUUUGGUUUAGGGGGUUGCAGAACAACUUUGAUGGCAGCAUCAAACACAGCCUUCACAUUCUAAAGUUCAUGCCAGAGAACAGUAAGUUAGUUUGAGCACUUGAUCACAGCCUUGACAUUCUUAAUUAGUGUAAUGAUUAUUGACUAACUACACUAUCUAUAUAAAGCCUGGUUAAUCAUUUGUAAACAGAGUAAAGGGAAACAAUACUUUUAAAUCACAGUUAAAGUUGUAGGCAGCGAGAAAAUUUAUGGCCUUUUGCAUGAUAUUUGCUACCAAAAGAAAAUACAGUCUGUUUCCAUGACUUUAGACAUGAAAGGGAUUCCCUACAUUAAAAAUUAAAAAAAAAACUCUUGGUGAAAAGGAGUUUUCAUAAGAACUGAGAAAAUGUAGCAGCAUUCUAAAUAGAUAAAUCAGAUCAAGUUCUAGUUACAAGUAUAACCAAAUAAUUUGAGUUUUCGUGUAAUCCUAGUAGGAGUUUUAAAGAUCAGAUCAAAUUCAAAUAAUGAGCUAAUUAGAGUGUUAUAUUUAAUAAUAAGCACUAGGAAAUUAAGCAAACCUGCUGAGUCUUGGAGCUACACUCUAUAUAAACAGCAGCACCAAUUGCCUUCUUCAGCUCUUCACCCUGCUUAAGAACAUUGAAGAACAUUUCACAGUUUAAGAAUUGACAGUAGGAAGUAGUCUGUUAGAAAGCAAGAUAAAGAGGACAGACAAUCAACUCCUAUGCCCUUUAUUGUGUAAGUAACUUGCCUGUGCAAUUGAUAUUGGUGUAGCACCAGGAUGAUCAAUCAAAUACUCUUUGUCCUCCCGCAAAUCUGCAGCCAAAAUUACUAUCAGAAUUACAUCAAGAUCAAAUUCUAGUGCUCACACACAAGCAACCGAAAACACAGAAACGCGAGCUUGCACACUCUCACACAUAUAUAUUAUAAGCACCUUUUGUGGUUUUUAUGACUUUUAUCUACUAUAAAUAACACAUACCAAGUUUGGUUCCCACAAGAACAAUGGGGACUGUUGGAGCAUAAUGCCUCAGCUCAGGUAUCCACUGGGUGUCAAACAAUAAAAGUUGAUGUGCAUAUUAGAUUCUGACUGCUGAGAGUACAAAAAUACAAGUAAAAGAAUAAAUCAAAAUAUUGAAAUGUUUAACAAACCUUCUUGGCAAUGUUUUCGUAGCUGGCUUUGCUGAUGAGAGAGAAGGCCAACAAGAACACAUCAGCACCUCUAUAGCUCAGAGGCCUCAGCCUGUUGUAAUCUUCCUGUCCUGAAUUCCGAAGAGCACAUACAAUAAGCAUGUGCAUAUUGAAAAUACAAGUAAUCUUUUUAGCAGAUGUAUUCUAGUCAGUUUGUCAAACUAACCAUAUUAUUUUAUGCAAAAUUGACGGGUUCAAAAAAUCAGAUGUUCAAACUAAACAA